UGUACAUAUCAUAGUUGUUCUUUGGAGAAAAGUCUUGCUACGUAUUUAAGACUGUCUUUGUAUUUCCUGAAUUCAGGACACUUCCCUCUUGAAUUCUAGAGUUCAUUGUUCUUACUCAUACAUAUAUUAUCCAUUUACUCCUCUUUAUUAAUUGAGUGGUUUGGUUAAGUAUUAUAACCAGUAUUGUUUUACAUACUGAAUGUGUUUUCCCCAGCAAAUAGGAUAUUUUAUAAAUUUCUGUCCAUUUUCAGAUAAAAUUGAUGUGUUUGCAGAACCUGAGAAGUCCCAAAAUGUUCAUGAUUAAAUUUUCCAAAUACUUUUCUGCUUCACAGUCUGCUGCCGUCAUUAAGCUCCUGUGCUUUUCUGAAAUGACAGGUUUGGAGACAAAUGCUGGAAACUAUGGAAAUACAUAUAUGAAAUAGGUUUCUUCACUGAAAAAAUGAGCCAACUGAAUCCAAAUCAGGAGUAUAAAAGUAAGCUUAUUUAGAGUCAGAUCAAGGAUAAGUUCACAUAUCUCACAGGGGGAG
rnacentral:lncRNA from 1 species